GGUGCGGUCGGACGUCUGCUUUUGGCAGAUCCCUGUGGCAGGGGCGCGCUAUAUGACUAAUGAUGCCUCCGGGCAUGACAGGAGA
rnacentral:sRNA from 1 species